rnacentral:rRNA from 1 species
CAGGCCUAACACAUGCAAGUCGAACGAUACCUUUCGGGGUAUAGUGGCGCACGGGUGCGUAACGCGUGGGAAUCUGCCCUUGGGUUCGGGAUAACCGUUGGAAACGACGGCUAAUACCGGAUGAUGACGUAAGUCCAAAGAUUUAUCGCCCAGGGAUGAGCCCGCGUAGGAUUAGCUAGUUGGUGUGGUAAAGGCGCACCAAGGCGACGAUCCUUAGCUGGUCUGAGAGGAUGAUCAGCCACACUGGGACUGAGACACGGCCCAGACUCCUACGGGAGGCAGCAGUGGGGAAUAUUGGACAAUGGGCGAAAGCCUGAUCCAGCCAUGCCGCGUGAGUGAUGAAGGCCUUAGGGUUGUAAAGCUCUUUUGUCCGGGAAGAUAACGACUGUACCGGAAGAAUAAGCCCCGGCUAACUUCGUGCCAGCAGCCGCGGUAAU